rnacentral:rRNA from 1 species
CGAUAAAAGCCAUAGGGCCUUAAAACAUGCAAGUCGAGGGGCAGCAUGGUCUUAGCUUGCUAAGGCCGAUGGCGACCGGCGCACGGGUGAGUAACACGUAUCCAACCUGCCGUCUACUCUUGGACAGCCUUCUGAAAGGAAGAUUAAUACAAGAUGGCAUCAUGAGUCCGCAUGUUCACAUGAUUAAAGGUAUUCCGGUAGACGAUGGGGAUGCGUUCCAUUAGAUAGUAGGCGGGGUAACGGCCCACCUAGUCUUCGAUGGAUAGGGGUUCUGAGAGGAAGGUCCCCCACAUUGGAACUGAGACACGGUCCAAACUCCUACGGGAGGCAGCAGUGAGGAAUAUUGGUCAAUGGGCGAGAGCCUGAACCAGCCAAGUAGCGUGAAGGAUGACUGCCCUAUGGGUUGUAAACUUCUUUUAUAAAGGAAUAAAGUCGGGUAUGGAUACCCGUUUGCAUGUACUUUAUGAAUAAGGAUCGGCUAACUCCGUGCCAGCAGCCGCGGUAAUACGGAGGAUCCGAGCGUUAUCCGGAUUUAUUGGGUUUAAAGGGAGCGUAGAUGGAUGUUUAAGUCAGUUGUGAAAGUUUGCGGCUCAACCGUAAAAUUGCAGUUGAUACUGGAUAUCUUGAGUGCAGUUGAGGCAGGCGGAAUUCGUGGUGUAGCGGUGAAAUGCUUAGAUAUCACSAAGAACUCCGAUUGCGAAGGCAGCCUGCUAAGCUGCAACUGACAUUGAGGCUCGAAAGUGUGGGUAUCAAACAGGAUUAGAUACCCUGGUAGUCCACACGGUAAACGAUGAAUACUCGCUGUUUGCGAUAUACAGCAAGCGGCCAAGCGAAAGCGUUAAGUAUUCCACCUGGGGAGUACGCCGGCAACGGUGAAACUCAAAGGAAUUGACGGGGGCCCGCACAAGCGGAGGAACAUGUGGUUUAAUUCGAUGAUACGCGAGGAACCUUACCCGGGCUUAAAUUGCAGAUGAAUUACGGUGAAAGCCGUAAGCCGCAAGGCAUCUGUGAAGGUGCUGCAUGGUUGUCGUCAGCUCGUGCCGUGAGGUGUCGGCUUAAGUGCCAUAACGAGCGCAACCCUUGUUGUCAGUUACUAACAGGUCACGCUGAGGACUCUGACAAGACUGCCAUCGUAAGAUGUGAGGAAGGUGGGGAUGACGUCAAAUCAGCACGGCCCUUACGUCCGGGGCUACACACGUGUUACAAUGGGGGGUACAGAGGGCCGCUACCACGCGAGUGGAUGCCAAUCCCCAAAACCUCUCUCAGUUCGGACUGGAGUCUGCAACCCGACUCCACGAAGCUGGAUUCGCUAGUAAUCGCGCAUCAGCCACGGCGCGGUGAAUACGUUCCCGGGCCUUGUACACACCGCCCGUCAAGCCAUGGGAGCCGGGGGUACCUGAAGUGCGUAACCGCGAAGGAGCGCCCCUUAGGGAAAAAAAACUGGGGA